CCGACACGGCGCGGGCGCGGGCGCCGGUCCAAACCCGAAUCUCUCCUGUCGAUUCCUCCCUCUUCUUCCUCCUCGUCCCUCCCAAAUCCCCGAACCCGAGCGCGCGACUCCCUCCCGCCUCCCAGAUCUUCCAGAACCCGCUACGAUUCGGGCAAUCCGCCGGCCCGCGCCCUAGUAGGUCUCCGCGGGCGGGAUUGGUUGAUGCCUCCCCGCCUCGCGUGACCGCUGCCCGAGGGCUGGACCGGAGAUCUCCGCAUGGAUCACAGGGGCGGCGGCGGCGGUGGCGGAAACAAGAACCGCACCGAUCUCCUCGCUGCAGGGCGGAAGAAGCUGCAGCAGUUCCGGAAGAAGAAGGGGAAGCGGGGUCCCGGCAAUAAGGCCGACGCCGAUGCUGACGCGGAGGCCGGGGAGGGGGCGCCCAAGGCGGCGGAGGAGUCUGUGCCCGAGCCGAAAUCGCCUGUUGGGUUGAAGCUCCUCGCCGGGGAGGGCGGCGGCGGGAGCACUCCAUUUGAGGAAGCGGAGAGGUCUCAGGCGGAGCAGUGCAACGGUGAGGGGCCUGGUACCGCGGAGUCCAGCUCUGUGGAGAGUUCCAAUGCGGUGCAAGAACAGGAGACGGUGCAAGAGCAGGAGACGGAUGAUGUCUCCGAUGCACAUCAUGUCGGUCCUAGUGAGCAGGGGAUUUCGGAGCAUCCUGAAAGCCAGACAGCUGGUGGCAGGGAUCUAUCACUUCAGGCUACCAGUGGAGACAGCAUUGGUGAUGAUAAUGUAGGACGAGCUCAGCUGGGUGAUGUGGAUAGCAUGGAGCUGAAUGCUUCUUCUGAAGGUAAUGGAGCAGAUGGUGAUUGCAAUCAACUAGGGGAACACCAGCAGGUGGAAAUGGAUGCUGUUGAAAGGCCAACAAGUUCCAGUUUCGAAGAAUUCACCGAGUUGCCAAUUCAUUCUCAAGGCAUUGAAGCCGAUAAUAUCCACGGUGAAGGGGCUCAGGAAAUGGUGAUGGAUGUUUCUGGGAGGCCAUUAGAUGGAGACAUACAGCAUGACAUCGAGCCCACAGCUUCUGCUGAAAUAGAUGCCGAGACUGCACUUGAAGAGUCAACUGUUGCAGCUUCAAUUGUGAUUCCUGAGAGUACUGCAAGAGGUACUGAGUACGAAAGAGACACUGGGUAUGAAACCGAUGGAGUAGACAAAGAGGCUCUCCUAGAAGAUCCAAGCAUGGUGCAUGUAAGUGAUGAAGCUGUCACUAUAGAUGAUUUGAGUGUUCAGGCCAAGCCAACAGCAUCAGCGGAUAUGCCACUUUGUGAGCAGAAGGGGGAUCCAGCUUUAUCUAGAAGUGCGGUAUUGCAAGGCAUUAUGCCACUUCACUUCGAGGAUAUACAAAAUCAUAUGUUCUCUGCAACUCUGUCAAGGGAUUUUCUCCAGUUGCAGCUAGAUGAGGCUGCUGGCCUUUAUUCAGAUUUUACACAACAGUCUUCUGACAAUACCACACAGCUCCGGGUACUGCUAAAAGAAACUGAAGAAAGCAAACUAGCAGUUGACAGAGAGCUUCAUCAAUGUAGACAUGAGCUCUCCAAGGUGAACAUAGAAAAGGGGCAACUUGAACUGACCAUGGCUUCCUUGAAAGAAGAAAUCAACACUAGCAACACGAGGUGCACAUAUUUGGAGAGUGAGCUACAUUCCUCCAAGGAGAGCACAGAACAAAUCCACAGUGAACUAGCUAACAGCAGAUUGUUACUGGAAGCUCUGCAAAAAGAGAACAUGGAGCUUACUGCAAGCCUUGCUUUUGAGAAAGAAGCCAAAAAAGAAGUUGAAGAACAGCGGGACCAUCUAUCUUCUGAUAACAGGAAGCUUUUAUCGGAGUUGUCAGGUCUUGAGCUUAGCUUAGCUUCUGUGAAAGAGGAAAUGGAUGCUAGCAGUAGCAGAUGUAAUGUUUUUGAGUGUGAGCUGCGUUCCUCCAAUGAGAAUAUGAAUCAUACUUUGACAGAGUUGGCAAAUUGCCAGGCUUUAUUGGAAACAUUACAGAAAGAUAAUUUGGAGCUGUCUGCAAAUUCUGCCUCCGAAAGAGAAGCAAAAAUGAAACUCCAAGAAGACAAUUUGUAUCUAUGUAAUGAAAAGGGCAAGCUUUCUUCAAAUUUACGUGAACUAAAUGACAAGUUGGAAGUUUCGUAUGCCAAGCAUAAGCAGCUUGAGUCACAUGUCAAAGAUACAGAAACAUACUUUGGACAACUUACCGAGCAGCUAAUUGAGGAAAAUCUGUACACAAGUAUUAGCAUCGAUAUUUACCAAUCUACAACCAAAGACUUAGACACUAAGUACAAUAUUGUGCUGGGACAAUUCCAGAAUAUUAUGCGUCAAGAACUUCAUUUGGACUCGUCUGAAGUCACUACUGAGAAUGCUGAAAGAGCCAUUAUGACCCCUAGACAUGAUAGCCAUGGUAAUAAUCAGUGUUUGCUUAAUCUGGUAAAUGCGAAUGACUCAUGUAACUCAACUGCUUUGCUGUCGCUGAAGGGCCAUCUAGAGGUGGCAAAAAGUGAUUUGCAUAACCUUGAAAAGUUGCUAGAGAGGAUCUCCUCUAGGUCUGAUGGACGUGUUCUGGUAUCAAAACUCAUUAAAUCCUUUGAGUCAAAGGGAAGUGACGAUGAUACUGGACUGUCUGAGGGGGAGCAUGAUAAUUUACAAAAGUCAACUCGGGAGAUGCUAUCAUGCCUAGGGGAGAAGUUUAUAGCAAUGAGCUCAGAUAUUACAAAAACUGAAGAAUAUUUGGCUGAACUGUGUAACAAAAUUGAACUUUACGUCAAGUCUACUGUGCAGCAUGAUAGAGAUAGACAAUGUACUGUUGUUCUUGAGGCCAAAAUGGAUGAACUUGCUGGCAAGCUGAGCAACUACAAGGAGACAAUUGACAAUCUGCACAAUCAGGUUGCUAUUGUGCAGCAGGAUGCAAACAGUAAUGCUGGAAAGCUCAUUGAUCAAGCAGAACUGUUGCAGAAGGAUGCGGUAGAAAGGAUUUCCAUUCUUGAGAAUGAGAGAAUGUCUUUAUCAGAUUUACUCAGUGAAGUAACAAACAAGCUCACCUCUUUGGGAGAUGCUGUAUUUCCUAGUGGUUCCAGUGAAAUUGAAGGUCUCAAUUUCUGCACUUUGAGCUGUGUGGACCUUGUUGCUAGAUCAUUUCAAAGUCUUCAGGAGAAAUUAGAGGCUGCUCAAAUAGAUAAUGCUCAGCUCAAUAGUUCUCUGGUGGAGCUCAGGAAGGCAAUUGGUGUUGCUCAAGAGAGGAGUGAACAUGCAGAUGGAAUUGUCAAGAAACUGUAUGAUUCCCUACAGGAACUUCUAUGUGAUUCACUUGGAAGUUCAAAUGAAUUUGGGGCCAGAUAUAGUGUUGAGGAACCAAUUGAAAGUCAAUAUGGAAGACUCAUUGCGCAUUUAAAGAAUUUGUUGCAUGACCACCAUUCCGCGCUGUCAACUAAUGCUGAACUUGAGUUGAGUCUGUUAAGUAAAUGUGAAGAAGUUGAGGAGCUCAACAUGAGAUGCAGUUCUCUAUUAAAAAAAUUGGAUGAAGUUUGUAUUCUAAAUGAGGAGCUUAAGUCAGCUUCUUCAAGUAAAAACGUCACACUGGAUAAACUACACAGUAGAUGCCUUACUGUAGCAGAAAUGUUGGCUUCAUGCUCAGCAAAUCAUUCCUCGACAGUUCAGUUGAUAUCUGAUAUUGGUGAAGGAUCUAGCAAGGAAGAUCAUAUUCUUACCACCCUUCUCCCAUGCAUUGAGGCGGACGUGGCUUCAUGCAUCGAGAAAUUUGAAAAUGCAGCUGAAGAAAUCCGUUUGUCUAAGAUAUGCUUGCAAGAAAUCAGCAUAUUUGACCAGAUUUCAUUUGAAAAAUGGUCUUACCCCUUGCCCACAUUGAUUAAAGAGGAAGUUUUACCAAAGAUAUGUGAUUUGCAAGACAGAUUCGACCAGCUCAAUGCACUAAACAUUCAGCUGGAAACUGAAGUUGCAGUCCUCAAGGAUGGCAUGAAAGAGCUGGAUGAAGAUCUUGGAACUUCGCGAUCUGAGCUUCAGAAAAAGGUUUCUGAACUUGAACAGUUAGAUCAGAAAUUUUCAUCUGUGAAGGAAAAACUUAGUAUUGCUGUUGCAAAAGGUAAAGGUUUGAUAGUGCAGCGUGACAGCCUUAAGCAGUCUUUGCUGGAGAAGUCUGGUGAGAUCGAGAAACUCACACAAGAACUGCAGUUAAAGGAAACAUUGCUGAAAGAGUUGGAAGCCAAACUCAAAUCCUAUACAGAAGCAGAUCGAAUUGAAGCCUUGGAAUCGGAGCUGUCAUACAUAAGGAAUUCAGCUACAGCUCUAAGGGAUUCAUUUCUUCUAAAAGACUCUGUUCUUCAGAGAAUUGAAGAGGUCUUAGAAGAACUAGAUUUGCCAGAGCAAUUUCAUUCUCGAGAUAUUGUUGAAAAAAUAGAACUGCUGUCAAAGAUGGCCAUUGGCACUCCUUUCACUCUACCUGAUGGUGAUAAGGGAUCCUCUGUUGAUGGGCAUUCUGAGUCUGGUGUGGCUAUGAAUGUCAUAGACGAUGAGCAGAACUCAAAUUCAAAUUCAGUAUCUGAUGAAGUAAAGAGCAAAUAUGAGGAACUGAAUAGGAGAUUCUGUGAGCUGGCUGAACAGAACAAUAUGCUGGAACAAUCUCUAGUGGAGAGGAACAGUCUUAUACAGAAAUGGGAAGAAGUCCUUGGCCAAAUUAGCAUCCCCCCACAGUUCAGGAUGUUGGAAGCAGAAGAUAAGUUAGCAUGGUUAGGAAACAGAUUCUUGGAGGUGGAACAGGAGAGAGAUUCAUUACAGUUGAAGAUUGAGCAUCUUGAGGAUUCCUCAGAAAUGCUUAUUGCUGAUCUAGAAGAGUCACAUAAAAGGAUAUCUGAACUCAGUGCAGAGGUGGUUGCUAUAAAGGCUGAGAAGGAUUUCUUUUCACAAAGCCUAGAGAAACUGAGAUUUGAGUUCCUUGGGCUCUCUGAGAAAGUUGUUCAAGAUGAGUUUGUUAGAGAUAAAUUGCGAAUGGAUCUAUCUGAACUGCGGGAUAAGUUCGCUGAAAAAACCGAGGAGAGCAGGCACUACCAUGAAAUGGACACCGAGGUCCACAAACUGCUGAAUUUGGUGCAAAACACAUUGCAGGAUAGCACUAACUCUGAAAUUUCAUCUGGAGGCAUUUCUGCUGUGUUGUGCUUGGGCAAAAUGCUGAAGAAACUUUUAGAUGACUAUGGCACUCUUCUGUACAAGUCGACUGAAGGCAAUUUUGCCGAGAGAGACAUUCAGUUAGAGGAUAUCAAGCCAUCUAAGGAUGCCUCUAAAUCGGACACUGGUGCAUACGAGAAAGAGAUGGAACUAAAUUCUUUAAAUAACGAGUUAGAUCAUGCUCACAACAAUCUGGCCUUAGCGCAACAGGAGUGUGAUGAAGCUGUGGAGAAGGCACAAUCACUAAUGAUGGAAAUUGAGACCUUACAUGCUCAAAUAAGUAAAUUGCAGGAAAGUGAUGCUGAACAAAUGCAAAAGAAAGAGAUGGAACUAAAUUCUUUAAAUAACGAGUUAGAUCAUGCUCGUAACAAUCUGGCCUUAGUGGAGCAGGAGCGUGAUGAAGCUGUGGAGAAGGCACAAUCACUAAUGAUGGAAAUUGAGACCUUACAUGCUCAAAUAAGUAAAUUGCAGGAAAGUGAUGCUGAACAGAUGCAAAAAUAUCAGUCGCUUGUCCUUGAACUAGAAAGUGUGGGUAAGCAACGGGACAAUCUACAGGAGCGGUUAAAUCAGGAGGAGCAAAAGUGUGCCUCAUUGAGGGAGAAACUAAAUGUUGCUGUCAGAAAAGGGAAGGGUCUAGUGCAACACAGAGACAGCUUGAAGCAAACUAUGGAAGAGAUGAAUGUAGUGAUAGAGAAACUUAAAAGUGAAAGAAAACAGCACAUAGAAUCACUUGAGACCGAGAAAUCAUCGUUAAUGGAUCGAUUGGCUGAGAAUGAAAAGAGCUUGCAUGAAACAAACCAGUACUUGAGUGGACUAUUAAAUGCUUUAAAUAGAGUGGAUGUUGCUCGGGAAUUUGAUAUGGAUCCAAUCACCAAGGUUGAAAAGAUGGCUAAAUUUUUCCUUGACCUACAGUCAACAGUGGCUUCAUCGCAAAACGAAGUGAUGAAAUCAAAACGAGCAACAGAGCUGCUUCUUGCUGAGUUAAAUGAAGCUCAUGAAAGGGCUGACAACCUGCAGGAGGAAUUGGUCAAGGCAGAAGCUGCACUUUCUGAAUCUUCUAAACAAUACAUUGUUACAGAAUCUGCAAGAGCUGAUGCUGUUCGUCAGCUUGAACUUAUUAUGCAUGCACAGUCACAAACAAGGAGGAGGCAAGCAGAUCAUUUGCUGGAGUUAAACUCCACCAGCAGUCAACUAAGAGAAGUCUGCUUUGAACUUUCACACUGUCUUGUUAAUACAUUCAGUAAGGAUGUGGACCUUAUCUGCUAUGUGGUGAACUUCAUGAGGUCUUCUGGUAAAUUGAUGGAUGACACAAAUACGAUGGACAUACCGAUUGCCUCUAAACAUGUUUUGUCCAACCGCACAAACAACAAGAAGGCUCAUAUUCCAAAUGCUCCUUUGGAAAUUAAGACGGAUGAUACGGAUGACAGUCAGUUUUUGCAUCAUCUUGCUAUUGCAUGCCAUGCUUUAUCUGAUUGUGUUAAGGACUGUAAUGAUCUCAAAAGAAACAUUGAUGAGCAUGACUUUUCAGUUGAACAGAAAGCAACCGAGCUAUUUGAUGUUAUGUCCACCUUAAAGAAUAGGUUCACUUCUCAGCAUAAUGAGUUGGAAUCUUUGAGAGCAAAAUUUGUUGAACUACAGUCAGAGAUGGAAGAAAGAGACAAGGAGAUUAUAUUUGCACAAAGGAAUAUGAGCUUGCUAUAUGAAGCAUGCGCAAGUUCAGUUGCUGAGAUUGAAGGAAUUAGUGAUAUAUAUCCUGGUAAACACAGCUAUGCUGUUGAACAUUCUGCAGAUGAAUGUAUAAAAUCAAUCGUUGAACAGUUAGUUAUGGCUGUAAAAACUUCUCAGAACAGUAACGAAGGUAGCACAAAGGAGCUGAAGGCUAUUGUUCUUGAGUUGCAGCAGGAGCUUCAAGCUAAAGAUGUCCAAAUUAGCACAAUCAGUUCUGAUCUAUCAUAUCAGUUAAGGGUGGCUGAAUCUUCUGCAAAGCAGUUCUCAGUUGAUCUUGAAGAUGCAAGAAUGGAGCUCCAAAAUUUGGAGAAACAAGUUGAUGUGUUGCAGAAUCAGAAGAAGGAUUUAGAGACUCAAUUAAAUGAGCUUAAAAAUAUGGAAUCAAUGGCAAGUGAACAACAUGGAAGAAUUGAGAAAUUGACUGAUGAAUUAAGCAGAAAAGAUCAAGAAAUUGAAGGUUUGGUGCAAGCACUCGAUGAAGAAGAAAAAGAGCUUGAAAUCUUGGAGAAUAAAAGCCUUCAGUUGGAGCAAAUGCUGCAAGAGAAAGAAUUUGCCUUGAAGACCUCAGAAGUUUCUAGGACCAAAGCUUUGGCAAAACUUGCAACGACUGUUGACAAAUUUGAUGAGCUGCAUAGCUUGUCUGAGAACCUUCUUGCUGAAGUGGAAAACCUUCAGUUGCAAUUGCAAGAAAGAGAUUCUGAGAUCUCAUUUCUGCGAAAAGAAGUUACAAAAAGCACUAAUGAACUGCUAACCACUGAAGAGAGCAACAAAAAUUAUUCAUCUCAGCUAAAUGGUUUCAUGAAGUGGUUAGAAAGAGAACUGUUGCAGUUCGGCUUCCAUUCUGAGAGUGCCAAUGAUUAUGAUUACACUCAAUUUCCUGUCUAUAUGGAUAUGUUGGACAAAAAAAUAGGAUCUCUGAUAGCCGAAUCAGAUGAUUUAAGGGUUACAGUUCAAAGCAAAGAUUCUUUACUACAGGUUGAGAGGGCCAAAAUUGAGGAGUUGAUGCGUAAAUCAGAUGGUCUAGAAGCUUCAUUGAGCCAAAAGGAUUCCCAGAUAGGGUUACUUCGCCGGGACAGAGCAUCCAAUCAGCAGAGCAGAUCUAUAAAUUUGCCUGGCACUUCAGAGAUUGAGCAAAUGAAUGACAAAGUAAGCCCAGCUGCAGUUGUCACUCAGAUUCGAGGCGCACGAAAAGUCAUCAAUGACCAAGUUGCUAUUGAUGUAGAGAUGGAGAAGGACAAGCCUUUUGAUGAUGAAGAUGAUGACAAAGCCCAUGGUUUCAAGUCAUUGACUAUGUCACGCUUUGUUCCUAAAUUCACUCGACCGGUAUCAGACAGAAUUGAUGGGAUGUGGGUCUCAGGCGAUAGAUUGCUCAUGAGGCAACCGACCUUAAGACUCGGCGUCUUGAUAUAUUGGAUUGCACUGCAUGCUUUGCUUGCUAGUUUUAUUUGAACUCUGUAAAGUUGUAGCGAUGUUCUGGGCGAGUGACUGUACAGUACUCUUGUGUCUAUAGCAAGUUAUCUAAACAGAAGCAGAUUGCACUAAUACCGUGAUUCCUUUUGAAAAUGUUACCGAAUACUUUAGCCGUAUUGGCAGCUGCGAGACAUCUUCAGGAUGCAUUUCACCCAUCAUCCUGGUGCUUGAUCCUGUCUAGCUUAGUUUGUGUUCAAUUGAUACAAAUGGUGGAAGAGAACUGAAGGAAGCAGCAGCAAAGAACCCCCUGUACAUACAUUUUUGUUUGCUCUAUUCUUUGCUUUUAGAAAAAGAUGGGAGGGAUUCUACAUGCUAGCGACUACUGACUACACUAUAUGGUACAGGAUUACAGAUGUAGCCAUCUCCUGGCGAGUGACUGUACAGUACUCUGUGUCUAUAGCAAGUUAUAUCUAAACAGAAGCAGUUUGCACUGAUACCGUGAUUCCUUUCGAAAAUGUUACCGAAUACUUGAGCCGUAUUGGCAGCUGCAGAAAUCUUCAUGAUGCAUUUUCACCCUUCAUCCUGGUGCAAAUCCUGUCUAGCUUAGUUUGUGUUCAAUUGAUACAAAUGGAUGGAAGAGAACUGAAGGAAGCAGCAGCAAAGAACCCCCUGUACAUACAUUUUUGUUUGCUCUAUUCUUUGCUUUUAGAAAAAAGAUGGAGGGCAUUCUACAUGCUAGCGACUACUUACUACACUAUAUGAUACAGGAUUACAGGGAAGUGACAUGUAGUUUUGGAAGUUAGGGUUUUGGGAUGGUAGCAGGUCAUCCCCUCCCUUGAGUUGGCCCCCUCAAUCCCAUCAUGCCUUCUAAUCUUUUUCGUUUACAUGUAUAACACAGUGAUUAUAUCAUUUAUUGUAAUCCACAUAGUGUGCAAUGGGGGAGCUUGCACAUUUUAUUAACGUCAA